GAUGAAGAACGUAGCGAAAUGCGAUAAGUAAUGUGAAUUGCAGAAUUCAGUGAAUCAUCGAAUCUUUGAACGCACAUUGCGCCCGCGAGUAUUCUCGCGGGCAUGCCUGUCCGAGCGUCAUUUCAACCCUCAGGGCCCGCCUGCUUCGGCAGGCGCGGCGCUGGUGUUGGGGAUCGGCCUAACCGCCGUCCCCCAAAUACAGUGGCGGUCUCGCUGCAGCCUCCCCUGCGUAGUAGCAACACUCGCAUGCGGAGCGCGGCGCGGACACGCCGUAAAACCCCCGACUUUCUGAACGUUGACCUCGGAUCAGGUAGGAAUACCCGCUGAACUUAAGCAUAUCAAUAAGCGGAGGA
rnacentral:misc_RNA from 1 species